rnacentral:rRNA from 1 species
AACCCAUUCUGUGUACCUUGCCUGUUGCUUCCCUAUAACAUGACUUUGGUCACUCUUGUGAUGCAAAUCUCAAGAGAGUCCCCAUGGAAGGUCAUCAAUAAACUCAUGUAUCCAAUGUCUUCUGUCUGAACUGUUUAUAACAAAUGUUAAAACUUUCAACAACGGAUCUCUUGGUUCUCGCAUCGAUGAAGAACGCAGCGAAAUGCGAUAAGUAGUGUGAAUUGCAGAAUUCAGUGAAUCAUCGAAUCUUUGAACGCACAUUGCGCCUCCUGGUAUUCCGGGAGGCAUGCCUGUUCGAGCGUCAUUAAAUACCUCUCAAGCACUAUUGCUUGGUCAUGGAAGAUGAGUAUGCUUGCAUUCUCCCUUCUGAAAUUCAAAGGCGGAUGAUCUCAUAUUCCCCGGCGUAGUAAGUGUUUAUCUUUCGCUUGGAGUGUGUGACAGUCUUGCCAUCGACCCCCAUCAUUUCAAGGUUGACCUCGGAUCAGGUAGGGAUACCCGCUGAACUUAAGCAUAUCAAUAAGCGGAGGAAAAGAAACCAACAGGGAUUGCCUUAGUAACUGCGAGUGAAGCGGCAAAAGCUCAAAUUUGAAAUCUGGCGUCUUCGGCGUCCGAAUUGUAAUUUGGAGAGGCAUCUUCGGUGAUGGUGCUGUCCUAAGUUCCUUGGAACAGGAUGACAUAGAGGGUGAGAUCCCCGUGCCUGGGUGGCUGUCCAUCUCCAUGUGAAGUGUCUUCGACGAGUCGAGUUGUUUGGGAAUGCAACUCAAAAUGGGUGGUAAAUUUCAUCUAAAGCUAA